GACGUAGGGCGCGAGCGUUGUCCGGAUUUAUUGGGCGUAAAGAGCUCGUAGGCGGCUUGUCGCGUCGGUCGUGAAAACUCGCAGCUCAACUGCGAGCUUGCGACCGAUACGGGCAGGCUAGAGUUCGGUAGGGGAGACUGGAAUUCCUGGUGUAGCGGUGAAAUGCGCAGAUAUCAGGAGGAACACCGGUGGCGAAGGCGGGUCUCUGGGCCGAUACUGACGCUGAGGAGCGAAAGCGUGGGGAGCGAACAGGAUUAGAAACCCCCGUAGUCC
rnacentral:rRNA from 1 species